GCCAGACUCCUACGGGAGGCAGCAGUGGGGAAUAUUGGGCAAUGGGCGCAAGCCUGACCCAGCAACGCCGCGUGAAGGAAGAAGGCUUUCGGGUUGUAAACUUCUUUUGUCAGGGAAGAGUAGAAGACGGUACCUGACGAAUAAGCCACGACUAACUACGUGCCAGCAGCCGCGGUAAUACGUAGGUGGCAAGCGUUGUCCGGAUUUACUGGGUGUAAAGGGCGUGUAGCCGGGCUGACAAGUCAGAUGUGAAAUCCGGGGGCUCAACCCCCGAACUGCAUUUGAAACUGUUGGUCUUGAGUAUCGGAGAGGCAGGCGGAAUUCCUAGUGUAGCGGUGAAAUGCGUAGAUAUCAGGAGGAACACCGGUGGCGAAGGCGGCCUGCUGGACUGCGACUGACGUUGAGGCCCGAAAGCGUGGGGAGCAAACAGGAUUAGAUACCCGAGUACA
rnacentral:rRNA from 1 species